rfam:Bacillus enclensis strain SGD-1123 genomic scaffold Scaffold2, whole genome shotgun sequence.
UAAUCCUUUUAAGAUUGGUCCAGAGAGGCUGACAAAGGAUGGGAAUGAUGGGCUGAAUGCCUUCUUAUACCCUCUUUGUACCCUCUUACAGGACAAAGAGGGUUUUUUUAU